rnacentral:rRNA from 1 species
AACGAACGCUGGCGGCAGGCUUAACACAUGCAAGUCGAGCGCCCCGCAAGGGGAGCGGCAGACGGGUGAGUAACGCGUGGGAAUCUACCCAUCUCUACAGAAUAACGCAUGGAAACGUGUGCUAAUACCGUAUACGUCCUUCGGGAGAAAGAUUUAUCGGAGAUGGAUGAGCCCGCGUUGGAUUAGCUAGUUGGUGGGGUAAAGGCCUACCAAGGCGACGAUCCAUAGCUGGUCUGAGAGGAUGAUCAGCCACACUGGGACUGAGACACGGCCCAGACUCCUACGGGAGGCAGCAGUGGGGAAUAUUGGACAAUGGGUGCAAGCCUGAUCCAGCCAUGCCGCGUGAGUGAUGAAGGCCCUAGGGUUGUAAAGCUCUUUCACCGGUGAAGAUAAUGACGGUAACCGGAGAAGAAGCCCCGGCUAACUUCGUGCCAGCAGCCGCCGUAAGAC